UCCUGGCUCAGAUUGAACGCUGGCGGCAUGCUUUACACAUGCAAGUCGAACGGUAACAGGUUAAGCUGACGAGUGGCGAACGGGUGAGUAAUGCAUCGGAACGUGCCCGAUCGUGGGGGAUAACGCAGCGAAAGCUGCGCUAAUACCGCAUACGAUCUGAGGAUGAAAGCGGGGGACCGUAAGGCCUCGCGCGAUCGGAGCGGCCGAUGUCAGAUUAGGUAGUUGGUGGGGUAAAGGCUCACCAAGCCAACGAUCUGUAGCUGGUCUGAGAGGACGACCAGCCACACUGGAACUGAGACACGGUCCAGACUCCUACGGGAGGCAGCAGUGGGGAAUUUUGGACAAUGGACGCAAGUCUGAUCCAGCCAUUCCGCGUGCAGGAUGAAGGCCCUCGGGUUGUAAACUGCUUUUGUACGGAACGAAAAGGUCUCUAUUAAUACUAGGGGCUCAUGACGGUACCGUAAGAAUAAGCACCGGCUAACUACGUG
rnacentral:rRNA from 1 species